GACGAACGCUGGCGGCGUGCUUAACACAUGCAAGUCGAACGGAAAGGCCCUGCUUUUGUGGGGUGCUCGAGUGGCGAACGGGUGAGUAACACGUGAGUAACCUGCCCUUGACUUUGGGAUAACUUCAGGAAACUGGGGCUAAUACCGGAUAGGAGCUCCUGCUGCAUGGUGGGGGUUGGAAAGUUUCGGCGGUUGGGGAUGGACUCGCGGCUUAUCAGCUUGUUGGUGGGGUAGUGGCUUACCAAGGCUUUGACGGGUAGCCGGCCUGAGAGGGUGACCGGACACAUUGGGACUGAGAUACGGCCCGGACUCCUACGGGAGGCAGCAGUGGGGAAUAUUGCACAAUGGGCGGAAGCCUGAUGCAGCAACGCCGCGUGCGGGAUGACGGCCUUCGGGUUGUAAACCGCUUUCGCCUGUGACGAAGCGUGAGUGACGGUAAUGGGUAAAGAAGCACCGGCUAACUACGUG
rnacentral:rRNA from 1 species